GGGGGGGGGGGGGGGGGGGGGGGGGGGGGGGGGGGCGGGGGGGGGGGGGGGGGGGGGGGGGGGGGUGAGGGGGGGAGGGGGGAGGAAGGGGUGGGAAGCUGCCGGGGAGUGGGGGGGGACGGCCGGAAACGGGCGCGAAUACCGCAUACGUCCUGGGGGGGGAGGUGGGGGAGCGUCGGACCUCAGGCUAUCAGAUGAGCCGAGGUCGGAGUAGCUAGUUGGUGGGGUAAAGGCCUACCACGGCGACGAUCCGUAACUGGUCUGAGAGGAUGAUCAGUCACACUGGAACUGAGACACGGUCCAGACUCCUACGGGAGGCAGCAGUGGGGAAUAUGGGACAAUGGGCGAAAGCCUGAUCCAGCCAUGCCGCGUGUGUGAAGAAGGUCUUCGGAUUGUAAAGCACUUUAAGUUGGGAGGAAGGGCAGUAAGUUAAUACCUUGCUGCUUUGACGUUACCAACAGAAUAAGCACCGGCUAACUUCGU
rnacentral:rRNA from 1 species